rnacentral:misc_RNA from 1 species
UGGUUUGUUACCGGUGGUCGGCUCUWUUUAACAACUUCCACCUGACAUACCUAUUCAUUCGUCCGGUAAGGCUUCAACUGCCUAAUCAAAAUGUGGGUUUCUUGUGUUGCCUACCUAACACACGGCAUUGAUCAGGCUUAUACAACUUCUUUUCAUCUUUUGUCWKGCUUUUGAUAUUUGAUGAACCAAWAAACUGCCUCUUUGAACCAYAUCGCUAAUGAUUGUGUUGAUGUAGUGGWGCAUUGAGCCWUUGCUUGGUUUCUUUUGAUGUGGUACUUGAUUUGGGCAUGGAUCUCACAGGAUCCUCUCAUAAUGUCCYUGUUUAGUAAAUAUGCUUCUUGAAAUGACUGCUUGACAUGCAUURGCUCGUACCAGCAUGUUGGGUUUUGUCUAAAGAGGAAGGUUACCUGGU